CAGCCUUCGAUAUGAGCCUUAAUUUCUCUAAUUUACCCCCAACUUUGCAUAAUCCUUUGAAUCAACCCCCAUAUUUGCUCAACCUACACACAGAAAAGAUAAGUUAGCAUAAAGGAAGGAGAAAGGGUAGAGGGACAUACCUGCAGUGGCGGGAGCGGAUGUCGGAGGGCCAUUUAAGGCGGUCAGUAGGAGGAGAACCCGAGGUGGUCCUCGGUAUUUACGCUGGCGACGUGGAAGGAGGAGAAAGGUAGGUGAUGGUGG
rnacentral:misc_RNA from 1 species